rnacentral:rRNA from 1 species
GGGCCCGCACAAGCAGUGGAGUAUGUGGUUUAAUUCGAAGAUACGCGAAAAACCUUACCAGGUCUUGACAUCGAGUGAAAGCUCUAGAGAUAGAGCCCCGCUUCGGCGCACAAAGACAGGUGGUGCAUGGUUGUCGUCAGCUCGUGUCGUGAGAUGUUGGGUUAAGUCCCGCAACGAGCGCAACCCUUACUGAUAGUUGCUACGCAAGAGCACUCUAUCGGGACUGCCGUUGACAAAACGGAGGAAGGUGGGGAUGACGUCAAAUCAUCAUGCCCCUUAUGACCUGGGCCACACACGUACUACAAUGGCCGUUAACAGAGGGAAGCCAAUCCGCGAGGAGGAGCCAACCCCUAAAAACGGUCUCAGUUCGGAUCGCAGGCUGCAACCCGCCUGCGUGAAGCCGGAAUUGCUAGUAAUCGCGGAUCAGCAUGCCGCGGUGAAUACGUUCCCGGGCCUU